AAUAGAUACCCCGGUAGUCCACGCCGUAAACGAUGAGUGCUAAGUGUUAGAGGGUUUCCGCCCUUUAGUGCUGCAGCUAACGCACUAAGCACUCCGCCUGGGGAGUACGGUCGCAAGACUGAAACUCAAAGGAAUUGACGGGGGCCCGCACAAGCGGUGGAGCAUGUGGUUUAAUUCGAAGCAACGCGAAGAACCUUACCAGGUCUUGACAUCCCACUGACCGGUAUAGAGAUAUACCUUUCCCUUCGGGGACAGUGGUGACAGGUGGUGCAUGGUUGUCGUCAGCUCGUGUCGUGAGAUGUUGGGUUAAGUCCCGCAACGAGCGCAACCCUUGAUCUUAGUUGCCAGCAUUUAGUUGGGCACUCUAAGGUGACUGCCGGUGACAAACCGGAGGAAGGUGGGGAUGACGUCAAAUCAUCAUGCCCCUUAUGACCUGGGCUACACACGUGCUACAAUGGAUGGUACAAAGGGCUGCAAGACUGCGAAGUCAAGCCAAUCCCAUAAAACCAUUCUCAGUUCAGAUUGC
rnacentral:rRNA from 1 species